GUCUUUGCCAAACUGCCUUGGACAUGCCCUAUCUUGUCUGAUCUCAGAAACUAAACAAGAUCAGGCUUGAUUGGUACUGGAUGGGAGACCACUCAGGAAUGCUGGGUCCUGUAGGCC
ensembl:rRNA 5S_rRNA 5S ribosomal RNA